rnacentral:rRNA from 1 species
GGAUGAACGCUGGCGGCGUGCCUACUCCAUGCAAGUCGAGCGAACAGACGAGGAGCUUGCUCCUCUGACGUUAGCGGCGGACGGGUGAGUAACACGUGGAUAACCUACCUAUAAGACUGGGAUAACUUCGGGAAACCGGAGCUAAUACCGGAUAAUAUAUUGAACCGCAUGGUUCAAUAGUGAAAGACGGUUUUGCUGUCACUUAUAGAUGGAUCCGCGCCGCAUUAGCUAGUUGGUAAGGUAACGGCUUACCAAGGCAACGAUGCGUAGCCGACCUGAGAGGGUGAUCGGCCACACUGGAACUGAGACACGGUCCAGACUCCUACGGGAGGCAGCAGUAGGGAAUCUUCCGCAAAGGGCGAAAGCCUGACGGAGCAACGCCGCGUGAGUGAUGAAGGUCUUCGGAUCGUAAAACUCUGUUAUUAGGGAAGAACAAAUGUGUAAGUAACUAUGCACGUCUUGACGGUACCUAAUCAGAAAGCCACGGCUAACUACGUG